rnacentral:tRNA from 1 species
GUGGGUAUCGUAUAAAGGUUAGUAUAAUAGUCUUCCAAACUAUGGGUGCGAGUUCAAUUCUCGCUAUCCACU